UUGUCCCCGUGAGGCCGCCGCUCCCAUGAGCGACCAUGGAGAAUGGCAAGGCCUGCCGGGAUUCUUCCUUUACCCCCCAGUCUGAGGCACUGCCCUCGCCCGGACCCCAGACGUCCCUGACUGCUUCCUACCCUGAAGACUAGUCUCUUCCAGUCCUCAAAAAUCACGGUCUUGAGAUCUUAGAGGUAGAAGGGACCUUAUCCAGGCCAACCCUCUGAUUGCACGGAUGAGGAAACUGAGGUCCGAAGAGAGGCUGACUGGCCCCCUCUCAUCCUGAGUUGAAAUGAAGCUAAGAGCAAAUGGCAGGAACAAUGCAGAAUCCAACAGAGACAGGAAAACCAGUAGAAGCUGAAGAAGCAGAAUGGGGGAGAAAGAACUGAGAAAGACUUCUGCUGCUUGGAAGAAAUCAAACCCAGCAGAGUCCAACAGAGUGGAUCGAUUAUAGAAGAAAAGCAGCUACAUUGAGACCUGAGAGAAGAGUUUAGAACCUGUAUUCCCUUCCUUUGUGAGCUGAUUGGAGGAAAAGUUUUGUUGUUAGGAGCUGACUGGAAAGACAGAGUUGCUUCUGGGAGUUGAUUGAAGAAAGUAUCUUCAGCUACUUAACAGCUCCUACUGGGAAGGGAAGUUUUCUUUGCUCUUUACUGCCUUGUUGCUGUUUGUCCUUCACUAUAAAAGAGGACCAAGUAAAUUGCAAGAGGACUUGCAAGUAAAUUGGAUUUAAGUGAGUUGGGGCUGUGCAAAGUCACUAGCUUCAUUCUCUCCUCUUUAUUGCCACCUAGCACUUGACAGGAGGACACCUCUCAGAGCUGGGCCAAUAGAGAAGACUUGAGUAGCCCUGAAGAUCCCAGGCUUAGGGAAAUUGCUUUUGCUAAAUACAGACAGUUCUCACUUUACAUAAGUGGGCUGUGUAAGUAGACAGUUCUGUAGGCCUCUUUGUAAAGCAGUUUUUAUGUAAUCCAAA